UACGAAGGGGGCUAGCGUUGCUCGGAAUGACUGGGCGUAAAGGGCGCGUAGGCGGACGGCUUUGUCGGGCGUGAAAUUCCAGGGCUUAACCUUGGGGCUGCGUUCGAGACGGGUUGUCUAGAGUUUGGAAGAGGGUCGUGGAAUUCCCAGUGUAGAGGUGAAAUUCGUAGAUAUUGGGAAGAACACCGGUGGCGAAGGCGGCGACCUGGUCCUUGACUGACGCUGAGGCGCGAAAGCAUGGGGAGCAAACAGG
rnacentral:rRNA from 1 species